rnacentral:tRNA from 2 species
GGGCGCGUGGCCUAGCCCGGAUAUGGCGGCAGCCUCCUAAGCUGUAGAUCGGGGGUUCAAUUCCCUCCGCGCCCG